rnacentral:rRNA from 1 species
AGUGAACGCUGGCGGUAGGCCUAACACAUGCAAGUAGAACGGCAGCACAUGAGAGCUUGCUCCCUGGUGGCGAGUGGCGGCCGGGGGAGGAAUACAUCGGAAUCUACUUUUUCGUGGGGGAUAACGUAGGGAAACUUACGCUAAUAACGAAUACGAACUACGGGCGCAAGCAGGGGACCUUCAGCCCUUGCGCGAUUGAAUGAGUCGAGGGUGGAUUAGCUAGUUGGCGGGGUAGAGGCCCACCAAGGCGACGAUCCGUAGGGUGACGGAGAGGAUGAUCAGCCACACGUGAACUGAGACACGGUACAGACUCCUACGGGAGGCAGCAGUGGGGAAUAUUGGACAAUGGGCGCAAGCCUGAUCCAGCCAGACCGCGUUGGUGAAGAAGGCCUUCGGGUUGUAAAGCCCGUUUGUUGGGAAAGAAAUCCAGCUGGCUAAUACCCGGUUGAGAUGACAGUACACAAAGAAUAAGCACCGGCUAACUUCGUGCCAGCCGCCGCCGUAA